rnacentral:lncRNA from 1 species
GUGAGGCCCUGCCCUCAGGACUGUGAUUCUAGCAGAGGCAUGGUGGGAUCUUAGGGCUCGUAUGUGCAAAGAAAGGCUGUGCGAAACUCAAAAGCUGGGGCUUCUCUUUACGGUGCCUCGAUCUCUUAAAAGGCCCCUUCUACCCACCUUGCUCCUAUUGGUUAAUUUCUCAGCUACACAGAAAAGUCUAGUGGGCAUACAUGGCCAGGGGACCCAAAAGUCUAG